ACGGAAGGCAGCAGUGGGGGAUAUUGCACAAUGGGCGAAAGCCUGAUGCAGCAACGCCGCGUGAGGGAAGACGGUUUUCGGAUUGUAAACCUCUGUCUUUGGUGAAGAAGAAAGUGACGGUAGCCAAGGAGGAAGCCACGGCUAACUACGUGCCAGCAGCCGCGGUAAUACGUAGGUGGCAAGCGUUAUCCGGAAUUACUGGGUGUAAAGGGAGCGCAGGCGGGACUGCAAGUUGGAUGUGAAAUACCGCAGCUUAACUGCGGAGCUGCAUCCAAAACUGUAGUUCUUGAGUGAAGUAGAGGUAGGCGGAAUUCCGAGUGUAGCGGUGAAAUGCGUAGAUAUUCGGAGGAACACCGGUGGCGAAGGCGGCCUACUGGGCUUUUACUGACGCUGAGGCUCGAAAGUGUGGGGAGCAAACAGGAUUAGAUACCCUGGUA
rnacentral:rRNA from 2 species